AGCGGGCGGGUUUGUUCCAUCCCGGCAGACAAGGCAGACGUCCCUUUCUCUUGGCUAAGCCGCUGUGCAUAGCUUGGCCCGGAAUGGCUAGAGGGAAAAUCUGGCCUGGAGACUCGGAUUCCGCUACUUUCGGAGCCAGGCCUUGUGUCCUUCUUGCCAGGGCCCUGGGAGACUUCUGACCAUCUGAGUUGCUGCUUCUGUGCUUACCCACACUUCCGUAAACAUCUUAGUAGUAACACACGGAUUUAUGACCCUGCGGGGUCUCCACAACCUCCUCCUCCGUUUCCCUAGAUACAGCAGUGCCAAAGAUCUGCCCUCUGAAUCUUCGAUUUCUUAGGCCAGAGAAAGAAACCAGACUGCUGACAGAUAAGAGUCAGCUGAGUGAAUUCAGGGGCUUCCACUUCAUCUUACUAGCCCACUAAAGUUUGUUGUUGAUCAUGGGUUGGUUUUGUUUGGUUGGUUUGGGUUUUAGGCUUCUUAUUGGGGCAGAGCAAGGGCGAGUGGGCAGGUUUGGGGUUUAGGGUCAGGAUGGAGUUCGGUGGUUGAAGUUGAGUGAUUGCCUAGCUCUUCCCAAACCAGGCUUGCUGGUGGCAAACCUAUGAUCCCGCACUCGGGAGGUGGAGGCAGGAGGACCAGAAGUUUAAGACAUCCUUGGCUACAAACCGCCUCAUGCUCCUGCGACCAUGCCUUCCCCGCCAUGAUGGACUGCAUCCUUGAACUGUGAGCCACGAGAAACCUUUUCUUCCUGAAGUCGCGUCUCUCGGGGUUUGUGUCACAGCCAUGAAGAAAGAACUGCUGUAGCUUUGUGAUGUCCGAAGCAGCAAACACCACUUAAAAGACAGACAAUGUUCACCGUUCCACCAAGUUCCCGUCUGCACCCUUGUGAGAAACCGGCUCUCUCUAAACUCCAUUUCCAGAAACACACUGACUUGGUUCACAUAUAAAUGAAAUUAUGCAAUAUGUACUUUUUCUUUCCCUCAAAACAACUAUUUUGAUAUUAAUUCAUGUUAUAGCAUAUAACAGUAAUUCGUUCUUUGUUCUGUGAUUAAAAGGAAUAUUCAAUUACCUGGA